AGCAGCACGUUUUGCUAUCCAAUAUCAUACGGACUCUUUGAUUACAUUAAGAGAAUAUCACCAUAAUGGUACAGCUACAAAUGGGAAACUAAAAAAGGCCAUGCCACCAGGUAUUAGACUGGUCUGCAGGGUGUUCUCAGGUGCCAUCACUGGAUAAACUAGACCGAGGGACUUUUGAAUUCUUACAUGGCUCACAGUGAACUGACUGGGGAUGCAAUCUCCAAAAAAACUAAAAUAACCUUAAUGUUAUGCACAAUGCUCUCUCACACAUGGACUGGAUUGCACAGCAUGCUUCAAAGAUGACAGACCAAGAUUCUGAGAAACAAAAGAAUCAGCCCAGACCAGACCUCAAAAAAUCCCUGGCUGCAGAACUGAGCACCAGCAGAGAUGACAGAUUUCAAAUCAACUGAUAUGAAUGGAAUUGCAAGACCUCCUAAUGCUGGCCUUGGUAAAUCUGUCUAAAAGAUAGAAGGCGGGGGUGAACAGAGAGAGAGAAUAUGGGGUUCAUUUAAGCACGGACACUUCCACCCACACUGAUACUGCAGCAGCUCCUCAUCUGCAGUUCAAUGUUAAACAGCAUCAUCCAUCCUUCCCCUCACCCUCCUCUCUCUCCAUCUCUGAAUUCUGCCCGUUGUGUCCACAGUUUUUUUAUUGCAGUACGUCUAAAGUGUCUUCUGGAACUCUGCCUCUACCUUAUGUUUGUUUUGAAAAGUGGACGAAAAAUUAAUCCUUUGAUAUGGACAUUUGUGUAACUUGGGCUUUCUUUUUUUUCCUUUGAAAUAAUAUAAAGAAGAAUAAAACCCACACAGUACAAACACAUGGCUUUAUCAGAUACAGUUUUCAGAGCAAAGAAAGAGAUGGUCCUUGCAUAGAAAACAGCGUUCUUUGCAUACAGUCAAA